UGAAGUUGGAUGGCUGAAUGGCUUUAUGGAAUUGAUUAAUCAGGAAGUAGACAUAGUGAGAGUGGAAGUAAAUGAGAAUGGUUACAGUUAUGGGAGAAACCCUGCUGAUGGAGAUUCCUUAGUGUCUUCUGGUGAGCUGGGAGCCUGACUGGUGGGUUGACAGUCAUACUUGUGUGUCUGACGACAUUAAUUGCAAGGUGCUAUGGGCCAAGUUUCUGUAGGUUGGGUGGAGAUGGAGGUCACUGGCAGUGAGUACAGCACCCAAGGAGAAACAUAUGAGUAGGAGGAAGAAAAGCAAUUUCUUUUUUGUGUUGUUGCAAGACUGGUGCUGGUGAAAUAGUCUUUUCUUGAACACUGAGCUGCACCUGGUAGGAUUGGGAGCCUUUGAGCAACACAUCCACUCAGGAACCAUGGAGGACUUAGGCAAAGGUCAAAGUAAGGUCAUGGGGAGUUUCAGAGGUCAUGCCCUCCCUGGAACCUUCUUCUUUGUCAUGGGCCUUUGGUGGAGUACAAAGACUCUUCUGAAGUAUGUCUGCAAAAAGCACAAGCGGACUAGCUACCUUAGUUCCAAAGCAUUAUUCCAUCGAGUAGAAAUUUUGGAGGGAGUUGUAAUAGUUGCCAUGGCUUUUACUGGCAUGGCUGGGGAACAGUUUAUUCCUGGAGGGCCCUACCUGACCUUAUAUAAAGAAGGCCAGUGGAACCAACUCCUCGGCUGGCAUCACUUCACCAUGUAUUUCUUUUUUGGGAUGCUGGGUGUGGCUAACAUCUUAUGUUUCACCAUCGGUUCACUUCCAGUCUCCUUAACCAAGUUAAUGUUGUCAAAUGCCUUAUUUGUGGAGGCUUUCAUCUUCUACAACCACACUCAUGGCCGGGAAAUGCUAGACAUCUUUGUGCACCAGCUGCUGUUCUUGGCCAUCUUUUUGACAGCCCUGGUGGCCUUCAUGGAGUUCCUCAUACGGAACAAUGUACUUCUGGAACUCCUGCGGUCAAGCCUCAUCCUUCUACAGGGGAGCUGGUUCUGGCAGAUUGGUUUUGUCCUGUAUCCCCCCAGUGGAGGUCCUGCAUGGGAUCUGGGGGAUCAUGACAACAGUAUGUUUCUCACCAUAUGCUUUUGUUGGCAUUAUGCAUUGGCCUAUAUCAUCAUUGGAGUGAAUUAUGCUUUUGUCACCUGGCUGACAUCUGGGCCUCAUCUCCUUAGGGGCUGGGCAGCCUCCUGGAACAGUACCAGAGUUCAAGGAAAUUCUCUACCUCAUGUCAGCUCCUCUCCAGAGCCAAAAGAAGACUACUGUCUCUUCCUGUUUCAAAAAUCUUCAGACGCCUAAUGAACUUCUUAUUCCCUUGCUAUUUUCUAUAAACCAGAAACUACAUUCUUAUUUUUCAACCUCUCCCUUUCCCCACCACAUGCUAUUCUAAUCUUUUUGACCAGACAGUUCCCUCUACCUGGUAUAUUCACAUUAAAUGCAUAUCUCUUCUAUGGAUGCUUCUGUGAUUCCUCUAGCCCUUGCUUGUCUCCCUUUCCUAAGUUUUUUUUUUUUUAAUCAAUUUAUUCUCCACCAGACAUUUUAAAAGUUGUGAUCUAUCUGGUGAAGUUGACUACCAUGAUGCUGAUCAGUCAGCUCUCCAUCACUGUGACAGAAUACCAGAAACAAACAACUUAACAGAAGAAAGAUUUAUUUCUGCUCAAGGUUUCAGAGAUUUCAGUUCAUGAGCAGCUGGCUUCAUUGCUUUUAGGCCUGAGGUUGGUGAAAUCUAGACUUAGGAGGCUCUGCCCCUCAGAAGUUGGACUCCUGAAAAAUGUUGAACGAGAACAAGAAUCAGAAGAGGAGAUGUGAUUUUGAUGGGCAUCUAGUCUAUCUAGAUAAACCUAUUCUCUUUUGCAUUGUCUUUGCUCAUGGUUUUGUUUUUUGACCUUUUGUUGGAGAUCAACAGGCAGAGGAUGACUGUUGUUUGUAUUUCUAAUUUAGUUAAAGUAUUUGAGUUUAAAUGUUUUAUUUUAGCUUUGAGAAUACUUUGGGUGAUAAGUUCAUUUUGCACAGAAUUAUAUUCAGGGGCUAGAAUGAAUUUUCUCACAUCAUGUAUCGUUUGAUGCCUAUAUUAUGAAACAUAUUCGUUUUAUGUGCCUUAUAGACAGGCUCAAGGUUCCUGGCCUUGCUACCAUUUCUAACUUGUUGAACACAGAAUUAUAAAUGUUUAUCUUGCUGCUGCAAUGAGAGAUAAAUAAAUGCAUGUACCUCAAA